GUGUUAAAUAUUUGCAAAACUAUAUAUACACAUAUGAAAGGCAGAUUAAAAUGUAAUAAUUUUUUCAUAAUAGUCUGUAAGAGGAUGAGAUGGGAGGAAACUGCAGUAAUCACAAAUGCUGGAAAGUGCUACAUGUGUCCAGUUUGUCAUGCUACAUAUGCUACAACACACACUUUGCGAAAUCAUUAUCUUUAUCAGCAUAAGGCUCCAAAAAAACACGUAUGUUCAACAUGUGGUAAAGGAUUUACUCGCAGAGGAGACCUUGGGAAGCAUCUUUACACUCACUUUCGAGGUUCAACUGACUAAAGUCCUUGUCAAGACUUUGAAUGCUACAGCCUCGUAUCAAGACAAUUCCAUAUCAUUCUUGAUUAUGAAUUAUUUUCAGAUAUAAAAUAAGUUUCUAAUAAAAAAACUUCAACAUUUUUAAAACAAGCUACUAGUUAUAUGUGAUGUAUUCAACUGAAAUAUUAAAGACAUUUGUGACUGAAAGAGUACUGUUUCACUUUUAUGUAUGGAUAAUUUGAUGAUUUUUAAGAGAUUUUGAUACUUGUCCUAUAGUCAAGAAUUUAUAUUCUUGUCUGUCAUAAAAUUUAAGGAAACAACUACAUCUGCAUAUAUAUGUUUCAUUAGUAUUUUAUAUAUUUGCUGAUGUUUAUUAAAGCUUUCACUUCAAAUACAAACAAAUAGUGAUAGUAAGAAUGAACAGUGUUUUCUAUAAACAUUUGAUAUUAAUAUGCUGUUAUAGUAAUAUUACUGUUGAAAACCUCUAUUCACAAAAUAUGGUAUUGAUAAUAUAGUUUAAUUUACAAUUUGAUUGUUUAAAAUCUAUUUUUUGUGUAUUAUUCUUAUCAUGAAUGUAAAUAAAUUGUGUUUAUUAUGUUAGAACAUUAAGUAACUAUUCAAAUGUGACUCUUGUGAAUACUUGUACAGUGGGAUAAAUGUUUUAUUUAUGUUGUUGAAGAAACAUAUUUCUUAACUGAGUGCUUUUAAAUUAUACUUGUCCAAGUUGUGUUGUGAAGUCUUUAUUUCUUUGACUAAGACUGAACAUUAUUAUUCCAUAGGUAGACUUGUUUUUAUGCCUAUAUCCCCAGUUAGUAUAGGUUCUAAUGUAACAAGAUUGUAUUUUUUUAUUUUAGAUUAUUUGAUGGAUCAAAACUUGUAUGGUAGUUUUACUUUGGAAGAGAGAAGAUCUUUAGAAGAAAGGAAAUAUCUCAGAGAGAGGAAAGACUGCAUAAUUGGUGCUCUGAGAUUUUCUUGUGAUGUUUGUCGUAGGACAUUUAAACGAAAAUGGAUGGUUGACAGACACAAGUAUAUGGUGCACCAAAAUGCUGCCUGGAGUUUUCGUUGUGAAAUCUGCUCUAGGCCUUUUAGUUGGAAAAUUAGUCUGGCCAAGCACAAAAGAAUUGUUCACCAAAUGAUGGAUAUAUAAACUUCAGUUAUCUCUUCAUUAAAAUUUAGCUUUUGUUGCUGUGUAGUCAAGGGUAAAAGAAGACUUUACUAAUUUUAACUCUUAUGUCUUGAAUUAGCUGCUGUAAGGGUUUACUUUCUUCAGUUUUUUAAAAGUUAAUUUUUACAUUGACUGAUGUGUAUCUUCUAAGAUUCUUAAAUCAGUGCUUCAGGAUUUUUAGUACUACUUGUGUGUAUAUGAUGAUAAA